rnacentral:rRNA from 1 species
UACGUAGGGUGCGAGCGUUGUCCGGAAUUAUUGGGCGUAAAGAGCUUGUAGGCGGUUUGUCGCGUCUGCCGUGAAAGCCCAGGGCUUAACCCUGGGUCUGCGGUGGGUACGGGCAGACUAGAGUGUGGUAGGGGAGACUGGAAUUCCUGGUGUAGCGGUGAAAUGCGUAGAUAUCGCCUGGAACGCCGAAGGUGAAAACAGUCUGCUGGGGGCGUACCGACGCUGAGACACGAAAGCCAGGGGAGCGAACGGG